rnacentral:rRNA from 1 species
UACGGAGGAUGCAAGCGUUAUCCGGAAUGAUUGGGCGUAAAGCGUCCGCAGGUGGCAAUGUAAGUCUGCUGUCAAAGCGUCUGGCUCAACCAGAUAAAGGCAGUGGAAACUACAUAGCUAGAGUAAGGUAGGGGUAGAGGGAAUUCCUGGUGUAGCGGUGAAAUGCGUAGAGAUCAGGAAGAAUACCGGUGGCGAAAGCGCUCUGCUGGACCUUAACUGACACUGAGGGACGAAAGCUAGGGGAGCGAACAGG